rnacentral:lncRNA from 1 species
AGCACACAUUUACUGAAGAAACUCACAUCCAUCUUUCAAGAUUCAUCUCAAAUGCUGUUUCUUCCAUGGCACUCUCAACUUUGAAUCCCUGUAGCAUUUUUAUUUGAGCCUUUCUCAUGGUUGUUCCCAAAUUCAGACAUAGACUGAAAUUAUGCAUGCCUUUUUAUAAUUGUCUCUUGCCCUUGCCACUUCUCUGACCCUGCUCCACUCCCAGAAAUGCCCCAGGACCUCUUUGGAGUCUAACUCGCCGUAACUUUUUGUAUAGUUUCUAUCAUGAUGCAUGUAGUCAGGGCAUGAUCAGUAUUUAUUGAAACCUACUGGCCAGUCUUCUCCCAUGUGUUUCAUGGACCAUCAAUUCCAAAAGAUCCUCAUUUCUAAGGGGUUUUAUAGCCAAACCUUCUCCAGAAUGCUGAAAUUCACAAUUUAAUUAGUUUAACCCCACACUUCCCCAAAGUUUUGCCCACAGUACAACUCCUUCCACUCUACUCCGUGACUAUCCCAAGAGACUGGUGUUUCUAGGAAUACAUUUAGCAAAAAUCUGCAGAAGGAAAUUACUUGUUUGAGUGUCCAAGGCUUGGAGUCAACAUCUUGGAUCCUGCUUCUACACAGCUAAUUGUUUAAUUAGUUCUAAGUCAUUUAUCCUCAGAUUCCUUAUUUAUGACUCCAUUAGCAGGUGACCCCCUCUAACUCUAAAAUUCUAUGAAUUAAAGGGCAUUACCUUUUAUAGUCAAUUGG